rnacentral:hammerhead_ribozyme from 1 species
AUCCAGCUGACGAGUCCCAAACAGGAUGAAACAAGCAUCAAAUUGGAU